rnacentral:siRNA from 1 species
UGCUUCGAUUUUUACGAAUAC